ACAGCUCACUUGUCGAGUGUUUUUGCGCCGAAGAUGUAACGGGGCUAAGUAUAUUACCGAAUUUAUGGAUAAGAUUUAUAUCUUGUGGUAGACGAGCGUUGUAUUGGAGUUGAAGUCAAAGCGUGAGCAUUGGUGGAUCCAAUACAAGUGAGAAUGCCGGCGUGAGUAACGCUUGGGAGUGAGAAUCUCCCAAACCGAUUGACUAAGGUUUCCUGGACCAGGGUCGUCCUUCCAGGGUUAGUCUGGACCUAAGCUGAGGCUGAAAAGCGUAGGCGAUGGACAACAGGUUAAUAUUCCUGUACUUACAGUUAGACUGAUGGAGUGACAAAGAAGGUUUUCCACCCCCAUAAUUGGAUUUGGGGAUAAAUCAUAAGGUGGUACAAUAGGCAAAUCCGUUGUGCAUAACAUUGAGUGAUGAUGUCGAGUGAAUGAGUGAUCAAGUAGCGAAGGUGGUAUUAAUCAUGCUUUCAAGAAAAGCUUCUAGGGUUA
rnacentral:rRNA from 2 species